ACGAACGCUGGCGGCGUGCUUCACCCAUACAAGUCGAACGGAAAGGCCCUGCUUUUGUGGGGUGCUCGAGUGGCGAACGGGUGAGUAACACGUGAGUAACCUGCCCUUGACUUUGGGAUAACUUCAGGAAACUGGGGCUAAUACCGGAUAGGAGCUCCUGCUGCAUGGUGGGGGUUGGAAAGUUUCGGCGGUUGGGGAUGGACUCGCGGCUUAUCAGCUUGUUGGUGGGGUAGUGGCUUACCAAGGCUUUGACGGGUAGCCGGCCUGAGAGGGUGACCGGCCACAUUGGGACUGAGAUACGGCCCAGACUCCUACGGGAGGCAGCAGUGGGGAAUAUUGCACAAUGGGCGGAAGCCUGAUGCAGCAACGCCGCGUGCGGGAUGACGGCCUUCGGGUUGUAAACCGCUUUCGCCUGUGACGAAGCGUGAGUGACGGUAAUGGGUAAAGAAGCACCGGCUAACUACGUG
rnacentral:rRNA from 1 species